GCGGGAAUCAGGGCUGGAGACUGUAAGCUGUCAGUAGCCCUUACAAACAAAACAACAAGAACAACAGCAGCGUAGUAAUCCUAAGUUUUUAUUUAGGUGUAACACAGCUGUGCACACUUCAGACAGUAAAUAGAGAUCAAGAGAAGUCAGAUGUCUCCCAGAAACAUAUUGCUUCUCUCCAACUCCACCAUCCAUGGUAGCGGUUACUUGGAGUGGGCAGCACAGUAUAUUAAGGAGUUUUUGAUCAGCAUAGUGUUGACUACCAUCACUCCUUGAAUGCUUCAGAAUUUGGAAAUGCAAAUAAUGCCCUCAGGAAAAUGAGAGCCAAGUCAAGUCUUGAUGUUUUGGUAUCUGCAGUAGAGUGAUAUGCCAGGCAAGAAAAUGCGAUGUAAUAUGCACUUGUAGUAGUUUGUAUGUUUAACCUUAACAGAACACUGUAUUGUUGGGAUUGCACUUUGUUUAGAGUAAAGUGCAGUAGUGAUGACUAAGCAAGAUUUCUACACUGUAACAUUAUUCUAGUUUGACUUUAAUAAUUUGCAACAUAGAAAAAUAUUAUGCAUGAUGCAGUUUUCUUAUAUGCAUUAUUGCUAAGAUAAUCUCAUGGACAUUUAACUUGUGUCAGUUAACUUCGUGUUGUUGAUUUAAUGUAUGAACACACAUGAACUGCUAAUAUUUUGUAAAUUUUUUUCAUCCAAGGUUUUAAAAUUAGGAUAACUCUCACCCAUGCAUGUAAAGAAUGAGUAAUAACAUCAAAGAGUAGGUUGGCAGGCACCAUCUGUCUAGGGAGGUACUACUUUCUUCUUGUAUGAAUCUGAAAUGUUAUGCACAUGAACAUAUAAGAUGAUUGGUAAAUCUUACAAAUAAAUAUGGGAUGAUACCGAAAUGUUUGCCGAUAUUGUUGCCCAAUUUUUGACCAAUACUGAUACCAAAAAUAACAAAAAGGGACAAUACUGUGACUGGAGCAAUACACAAAAGUAACCAGCACAUAGGAGAGAGAGGAACUUAUGAUGAUUUUUUAUUCAACAUGGACCAUUUACAAAGUCACACUGUGACUUUGUAAAUGGUCAAAGCUUGCUCAGAUAAGUAGUGAGUGGUAAAUUUGGGCCUAAAUAUGAGAGAAUGGGUCUCUAUGGUGAAUGUGCACCAUAUCAAAAAAUCCUGCCCUAAAAUGGAGGAAUGUAGCACAUAAUGUAUUAGCAGAGAUAACCCCAGGAGGCAGCUCAGAUGAAAAUUCACACACACGAGCUAUUAAAUCUCUGCAACAAAUUCACCUUAAACCAGUAAAUAAUAGAGCCAACAAGACUGGAAAAUACGCUGGACCUCAUCUACACCAACAAUGAUGAUCUGAUAUGAAAUGUAACGGUAUCAAAGGCAGUACGCCCAGAUCACAACAUAAUAGAGGUACAGACGUAUGCACAGGGCUCCUGACCAGCAAAAGUGACCAGUUAUGAAGGUGCCUUCACCAAAUUCAACUUCGUUAACAAAAACAUACAGUGGGAGGACAUCCUAAACAACACGGAUCCGAACCUUUGCCUAAAAAGAAUUAGCUCUGUGGCACUUGAGGUAUGCUUAAGAAAAAGGAGGAGACGAUGUAAACUAGAAAGAGAGAGAUGCUCCCUAUACAGGUGAAGGUGAUGAAUCACAGAAUUGCUGAAAGGGGCCAGCAUAUCUGAAAUACGAAGGGAGGCACUGGUCAGUGAAAUAGCAAAUUUCGAACUCAGGAAGAACUUAAAGUCAUCAAUAAAAUUGAAAAAAACACAAAAUAUUUCUUUUCUUAUGCCAAAUCUAAGGCAAAAACAGCUUCCAGUAUUGGACCCCUGCUUAGAUAAAAUGGGACAGCAAAGAAAUGAAUAAGAUACUAAAGUCCCAAUAUGACUCAGUGUUUAAUGAGCCAUUAACUGGGCUAAGAGUCAAAAAUCUAAAUGAAUUUUUUAUGACUGAGAAUCAAAAUUUGGUUAAUCCAAAAAUCUCUGAUAUUAUCCUAACACCACAAGACCAAAAAAGCAGUCAAUGACAUGCCCAUGCACUCAGCCCCAGGCCCAGACUUGUGGAACUUCGUGUUCACCAAGAACUUCAAGAACCCCCUUUCACGUGCCUUCAGCAUUCUAUGGAGAGGGAGCAUGGACACAGGUCAUCCCACAGUCACUAAAAACAACAGAUAUAGCCCCCUACCACAAAGGUGGCAGUAAAGCAAUUGCAAAGUAUUACAGACUGAUAACACUAAUGUCCCAUAUCAUAAAAAUCUUUGAAAGGGUUCUAAGAAGCAAGAUUGCCACCCACUUAGAUACCCAUCAGUUACAUAACCCAGGGCAACAUGGGUUUAGAGCAAGCUGCUCCUGCCUGUCCCAGCUGCUGAACCACUAUGACAAGGUCAUAGAUGCACUAGAGGACAAACAAAAUGCAGAUGUAGUACUGUAUACACAGACUUUGAGAAAGUGUUUGACAAGUGUGACCAUGGUGUAAUAGCACACAAAAUGUGUGAUAAAGGAAUAACAGGAAAAGUUGGUAGAUGGAUCUAUAACUUCCUGACAAAUAGAACACAAAGAGUAAUAGUAAACAGAGUAAAGUCUGAGGUGACUACAGUGAAAAGCUCUUCCACAAGGCACAGUACUCGCUCUCAUCCUGUUCCUCAUACUCAUAUCUGACAUAGAGACGUAAGCCACAGCACCAUGUCUUUCUUUGCGGAUGACACCUGAAUUUGCGUGACUGUAUCAUCCAUUGAAGACACUGCAAGACUCCAAGCAGACAUCAGCCAAAUCUUUAAAUGGCCCGCAGAAAAAUGUGAAGUUCAGUGAAGAGAAAUUUCAAUUACUACUCCAAUAUGGACAACUCGAGGAAAUAAAAACUGUGUCGGAGUAUAAAACAAAUUCCAGUCACACAGUAAUGCGAAAAAUUUAUGUGAAGGAUCUGGGAGUGAUAAUGUCAGAGGAUCUCAUUUUCAAAGAUCACAACAAUGUAUCUAGCACAUCUUCUAGGAAAAUGAUUGGAUGGAUGAGAACCUUUAAAAUUAGG